rnacentral:rRNA from 1 species
UACGUCGGGUGCAAGCGUUAAUCGGAAUUACUGGGCGUAAAGCGUGCGCAGGCGGUUUUGUAAGUCUGACGUGAAAUCCCCGGGCUCAACCUGGGAAUUGCGUUGGAGACUGCAAGGCUAGAAUCUGGCAGAGGGGGGUAGAAUUCCACGUGUAGCAGUGAAAUGCGUAGAGAUGUGGAGGAACACCGAUGGCGAAGGCAGCCCCCUGGGUCAAGAUUGACGCUCAUGCACGAAAGCGUGGGGAGCAAACAGG